ensembl:lncRNA
GGCUAGGGGUUGAAUCGGAGCUGUAGCCAACGGCCUACACCAGAGCCACAGCAACGUGGGAUCCGAGCCGCGUCUGCAACCUACACCACAGCUCACGGCAACGCCGGAUAGUUAACCCACUGUGCAAGGGCAGGGACCGAACCCGCAACCUCAUGGUUCCUAGUCGGAUUCGUUAACCACUGCGCCACGACGGGAACUCCAGUCUUUUUUUUUGACUCAAUGAAUUUUAUUACAUUUAUAGUUGCACAAUGAUCAUCAUAACCUAAUUUCAUAGCAUUUCCAUCCCAAACCCCCAGCCUAUCUCUCCACCCUUCCCCUUCCAGUACUCUUCAUUUAUGCUAAUGAAGUAGCUUAAGAUAGAGUUUAGGGUGGGAUCUCCUACUUGAGGCUGGUCACCAGAAAGGUGAUUAGAGGGUGGAAACUCUUCAGCCCUAUUCCUGACCUCCGGGGAGUGAGAGGAAGUGUGUGCUGGAGAUUAAGUUCUAUAAAACCUUUUUUUUUUUUUUCCUUUUGGCUGUACCCAUGGCUUGUGGAAGUUCCCAGGCUAGGGGUCCAAUCGGAGCUGUAGCCACAGGCCUACACCAGAGCCACAGCAACGUGGGAUCCGAGCCGCGUCUGCAACCUACACCACAGCUCAUGGCAACGCCGGAUCGUUAACCCACUGAGCAAGGGCAGGGACCGAACCCGCAACCUCAUGGUUCCUAGUCGGAUUCGUUAACCACUGCGCCACGACGGGAACUCCUCUAGGAAAUUAUUGAACUUCAGGAGGUUGUCAUGGGAACUCCUCAUUUAUAGCCAGUUGGCCAGAAGUCCAGGAGGUCUGGGACUUGUGACUGGCAUCUGAAAUGGGGGCAGUCCUGUGAGACUGAGCCCUUAACUGUGGGGUCUUUACCAACUCCCAGUAUUUAGUGUCAAGAAUGAGAUGAAUUGUUGAACACUCAUUUAGUGUCUGGAGAAUCAGAGAUAAGGUUGUUGGUGUUGGAAAACACCUCAAAGCCCAAUAUAUCUCUGCUCAUCCUGUCAAACAAGGUACCAGAAAUUUCAUGUUCUGUUUCAUUUUCUCACCUGAACUGUGUUGGCUACAAAUGGAAUGUCUUUGCCUUGCUUCUUGCCUUUUUUCCCCCCAUCCAUGCUGCCCAUCACCCUUCAUUCAACAGUUCUUCUCCUAUGUGGCAAUCUUCCUUUAGAUUCUUCAUUUAUUCUCUCAUUCAAUAAAUAUAUGUGCCAGGCCUCCACUACAGAGCUGAUGAUACAGAGGCGAACAAGAUAAAGUUCCUGCUGCAGUUGGGGGAGACAGUCAACAAAACACAUAGAGAAAAAAAUUAACAGAUAAAGUAAGGAAACGUGCUCACUUAUGUACCAAUUAAGAAGGAGAUAGGACUUGCUCUAGGGAAGGAGGCACAGGGAGAAAAGCAUGACAAAUAGGUGGCGAGCAUGUAUGUAUUUAUUUUAAGUGCUUCUAGAAUUAUUUUGUAAAUAUCUAAGCAAAUAUGUACAUUUGGCUUCCCCUCCACAUUCCUCUUUUAAUUUUUUCAGAAAUAGCAGGAUAUGGAAGUUAUCUUGUGACACAGUAGGUUAAGGAUCUGGCAUUCCCUCAGCUGUGGUGCAGGUCAGCACUGUGGCACGUGUUGCAGGUUUGAUUCCUGGCUGGAGAAAUUUCACAUGCUGGAGGUGUGGCCAAAAGAAAAGAAAUAGCACUAUACUAAACACACUAUUCUACAUCUUGCACUAUGUGGCUUGGAGAUCAUUCCAUUUGAGAAUUCAAAGGGCCCCCUUGUUUUAAAAACGUGGCUUUGUGGGAGUUCCCAUUGUGGAUAAGCAGCUUAUGAACCUGACUAGCAUUCAUGAGGAUGCAGAUUCAAUCCCUGGCCUUGCUCAAUGGGUGGGGGAUCCGGCAUUGCCAUGACCUGUGGUGUAGGUGGGAGAUGCGGCUUGGAUCCCUAGUUGCUGUGGCUGUGGUGUAGGCUGGCAGCUGCACAUGGGAACUUCCAUAGGCUGCAGGGACGGCCUUAAAGAGUGAAAUAAAUAAAAAGUGGCUUUGUAAUAUGAAAAGC